GAUGAACGCUGGCGGCGUGCCUAAUACAUGCAAGUCGAGCGAACAGACGAGGAGCUUGCUCCUCUGACGUUAGCGGCGGACGGGUGAGUAACACGUGGAUAACCUACCUAUAAGACUGGGAUAACUUCGGGAAACCGGAGCUAAUACCGGAUAAUAUAUUGAACCGCAUGGUUCAAUAGUGAAAGACGGUUUUGCUGUCACUUAUAGAUGGAUCCGCGCCGCAUUAGCUAGUUGGUAAGGUAACGGCUUACCAAGGCAACGAUGCGUAGCCGACCUGAGAGGGUGAUCGGCCACACUGGAACUGAGACACGGUCCAGACUCCUACGGGAGGCAGCAGUAGGGAAUCUGCCGCAAUGGGCGAAAGCCUGACGGAGAAACGCCGCGUGAGUGAUGAAGGUCUUCGGAUCGUAAAACUCUGUUAUUAGGGAAGAACAAAUGUGUAAGUAACUAUGCACGUCUUGACGGUACCUAAUCAGAAAGCCACGGCUAACUACGUG
rnacentral:rRNA from 1 species